CGCGGCGAAGCCGGCGGUUCGCUGCCGGUGUUGUUGUGAGAAGUUCAUUAAACCUUAUCAUUUAGAGGAAGGAGAAGUCGUAACAAGGUUUCCGUAGGUGAACCUGCGGAAGGAUCAUUG
rnacentral:rRNA from 1 species